GAAGAGGCUCAUAGCUAUUAGGGUUUAUAGAGAGAGAAGAAGGAAGUAGGAAAAGUUCAUCGGCUUUGGUUUAUAUAGAGAGAAGGAAGAAGGAAGACUUCAUCGGCUUCACAAAUCCUAAUAUGGAAGAGGCCCUAACUGAUUUUUAGAGAGAGAAAAGGAAAGGAAGAUGGGACGAUGAUUUGAGAUAGUUUGAAGAGGAACUUUCUCUCUUAUUUGAGUUAUUGUUGUUUGAGAGAAAGCCCUAAUUAUGCUGAGUUGUUGUUUGAGAAAAAGCCCUAAUUAUACUUAUUUGUGAAGAGGCCUUAACGGAUUUUUUUGAUUUGUAAAGAGAUCCUAAUUUUUAGAGAGAGAAAAGUAAGAGGGUUUUUAAUUUUGUUAGGGAAACAGCAAGUUUGGGGGAUUGCUUGCUCCUGUAAGUUUACGGUUUACACUAUAUUGUUUAUCUUUGUU
rnacentral:lncRNA from 1 species